GGGGCAGUAGAUCAGUGGAAGAGCUCCAGCCUCUUAUGUGGGAAGAUCUGGGUUCGAUUCCCGCCUGCCUCC
rfam:Toxocara canis scaffold45, whole genome shotgun sequence.